UACGAGGGGGGCAAGCGUUGUUCGGAAUCACUGGGCGUAAAGGGUGCGUAGGCGGGUCUUUAAGUCAGGGGUGAAAUCCUGGAGCUCAACUCCAGAACUGCCUUUGAUACUGAAGAUCUUGAGUUCGGGAGAGGUGAGUGGAACUGCGAGUGUAGAGGUGAAAUUCGUAGAUAUUCGCAAGAACACCAGUGGCGAAGGCGGCUCACUGGCCCGAUACUGACGCUGAGGCACGAAAGCGUGGGGAGCAAACAGG
rnacentral:rRNA from 1 species